GGGCAGCUUGUUUUUGAAACAAAGGAAGCACAGGCCGCAUGGCAAAAUACUAUAAAAGCCAGCUGCAUCCCCUCCAUCUUGUCUUCAAUCCUGCUUCUUACCUCUGGAAAAAUUUUGCUACACUGAAGCUCUGAACAAAGGACUGAAUGACCCAUCCAAGCUGUGGAUGUACUCCAGAGAUUUGAUUUGAGCCUACAGUUUAUUCCAUUACUGCUACAAUCCUGAACCAAGAACUUUGCCAUUACUGAAUGUGAAGUGU